CGGAUUCAUUGGGCGUAAAGGGCGCGUAGGCGGCCUCUUAAGUCGAACGUGAAAUCCCCGGGCUUAACCCGGGAACUGCGUCCGAUACUGGGAGGCUUGAAUUCGGGAGAGGGAUGCGGAAUUCCAGGUGUAGCGGUGAAAUGCGUAGAUAUCUGGAGGAACACCGGUGGCGAAGGCGGCAUCCUGGACCGACAUUGACGCUGAUGCGCGAAAGCCAGGGGAGCAAACGGG
rnacentral:rRNA from 1 species